GUAUUAUUAUAUAAAGUAUGUGUGUCUUCCAAACGCAAGGUGUCUUCGACAUACUAAA
rnacentral:tRNA from 1 species